rnacentral:rRNA from 1 species
UACGGGGGGGGCAAGCGUUGUUCGGAAUUACUGGGCGUAAAGGGCUCGUAGGUGGCCAACUAAGUCAAACGUGAAAUCCCUCGGCUUAACCGGGGAACUGCGUCUGAUACUGGAUGGCUUGAGUUUGGGAGAGGGAUGCGGAAUUCCAGGUGUAGCGGUGAAAUGCGUAGAUAUCUGGAGGAACACCGGUGGCGAAGGCGGCGUCCUGGACCAACACUGACACUGAGGAGCGAAAGCCAGGGGAGCAAACGGG